rnacentral:rRNA from 1 species
AUGUAUGUAGACUUGAUUAACAUUGGACCAAUCCCAAAGUCGCUUCAUAUUUGAAAAGUUAAGAUGGCGUUAAAAAUAAAGAUAUUUAUAUGGUUUGUGCACAAGGAAGUGAUUCUCACUAAGAACAACUUGACAAAAUGUAGAUGGGAGGGUAGUAAACGGUGCUGUUUUUGUGAUCAGGACGAAACAAUCCAACAUCUCAAAUGCUCAUUAGCCAAAUUAUGUGGUGUAAAAUACAUGUGUCCUUUAAUGUCUGUCCACCUAAUAGUAUCUCCAGUUUAUUUGGGACUUUGUUAA